rnacentral:rRNA from 1 species
UACAGAGGUCUCAAGCGUUGUUCGGAUUCAUUGGGCGUAAAGGGUGUGUAGGUGGCGCUGUAAGUCGGGUGUGAAAUCUCGGGGCUUAACUCCGAAACUGCAUUCGAUACUGCGGCGCUUGAGGACUGGAGAGGAGACUGGAAUUCAUGGUGUAGCAGUGAAAUGCGUAGAGAUCAUGAGGAAGACCAGUGGCGAAGGCGGGUCUCUGGACAGUUCCUGACACUGAGACACGAAGGCCAGGGGAGCAAACGGG